UACGUAGGUGGCAAGCGUUGUCCGGAUUUAUUGGGCGUAAAGGGCGCGCAGGCGGUUCGUUAAGUUCGAGGUGAAAUCUCCCGGCUCAACUGGGAGGGGUCUUCGGAUACUGGCGGACUUGAGGAGAGCAGAGGUGAGUGGAAUGCUGGGUGUAGUGGUGAAAUGCGUAGAUAUCCAGCGGAACACCAGUGGCGAAGGCGGCUCACUGGGCUCCACCUGACGCUGAGGCGCGAAAGCUAGGGGAGCGAACGGG
rnacentral:rRNA from 1 species